CCCAGACUCCUACGGGAGGCAGCAGUGGGGGAUAUUGCACAAUGGGGGAAACCCUGAUGCAGCGACGCCGCGUGGGUGAAGAAGCGCCUCGGCGCGUAAAGCCCUGUCAGCAGGGAAGAAAAUGACGGUACCUGAGUAAGAAGCCCCGGCUAACUACGUGCCAGCAGCCGCGGUAAUACGUAGGGAGCAAGCGUUGUCCGGAAUUACUGGGUGUAAAGGGAGCGUAGGCGGGAUAGUAAGUUGAUUGUUAAAACUAUCGGCUCAACUGGUAGAUGCGAUCAAAACUGCAAUUCUUGAGUGAAGUAGAGGCAGGCGGAAUUCCUAGUGUAGCGGUGAAAUGCGUAGAUAUUAGGAGGAACACCAGUGGCGAAGGCGGCCUGCUGGGCUUUAACUGACGCUGAGGCUCGAAAGUGUGGGUAGCAAACAGGAUUAGAUACCCUGGUA
rnacentral:rRNA from 1 species